rnacentral:rRNA from 1 species
UACGAACCGUACAAACGUUAUUCGGAAUCACUGGGCUUAAAGGGUUCGUAGGCGGCCUUGUAAGUGGGGUGUGAAAUCCCUCGGCUCAACCGAGGAAUAGCGCUCCAAACUGCAAGGCUUGAGGGAGACAGGGGUAAGCGGAACUGAUGGUGGAGCGGUGAAAUGCGUUGAUAUCAUCAGGAACACCGGUGGCGAAAGCGGCUUACUGGGUCUCUUCUGACGCUGAGGAACGAAAGCUAGGGUAGCGAACGGG